UACGUAGGGGGCUAGCGUUGUUCGGAAUUACUGGGCGUAAAGCGCACGUAGGCGGAUAUUUAAGUCAGGGGUGAAAUCCCGGGGCUCAACCCCGGAACUGCCUUUGAUACUGGGUAUCUCGAGUCCGAGAGAGGUGAGUGGAAUUCCGAGUGUAGAGGUGAAAUUCGUAGAUAUUCGGAGGAACACCAGUGGCGAAGGCGGCUCACUGGCUCGGUACUGACGCUGAGGUGCGAAAGCGUGGGGAGCAAACAGG
rnacentral:rRNA from 1 species